AUGAAGCAGGUUUUACUCCUCUUAAACUAGCAGACAUGCAACAACACAGUUGUGCUAUGUUUGUUUUGUGCGCCACUUUCAUGCAUAUUUGUGCUUGCAGUGGAUAUGCAUAUACAUGAAGGAUUUGUUUUUGUUUUCCUCAGCUGCCUCUGCGAACCCCGCUCUUGGACAACAGCUGGGAGGCUCUGUAUUUAAACGCGUGCACCUUGGACGUCAUGCUCCUGCCUCUGCAAGCCCUUUUGCUGGACGCCAUGGAAGGCCCUCCACUCGAAAGUGUGCACCUUAGACUACACGCUCAUCAAUACCAAGUUCUCUGUCCUUCUCGGCAUGAUUGUAGUGCCAUAUAAUAGUGAGGCAAUAAAUCAUUUUUGCUGGUCA